UACAGAGGGUGCAAGCGUUAAUCGGAAUUACUGGGCGUAAAGCGUGCGUAGACGGUUAUUUAAGUCGGGUGUGAAAGCCCCGGGCUCAACCUGGGAAUUGCAUUCGAGACUGAAUAGCUAGGGUGCGGAAGAGGGAAGCGGAAUUUCCGGUGUAGCGGUGAAAUGCGUAGAUAUCAGGAGGAACACCUGUGGUGUAGACGGCUUUCUGGACCAUCACUGACGCUGAGACACGAAAGCGUGGGGAGCAAACAGG
rnacentral:rRNA from 1 species